rnacentral:rRNA from 1 species
CCUGCUCAGUGAAUAUUAAAUAGCCGCUAUUUAUAGUGCUAAGGUAGCAUAAUCACUUGUCUCUUAAUUAGAGAAUAGAAUGAAUGGAAAUUUGAAUUAAAAACUUUAUUUAAUUCAUAAAAUGAAAUUUAUAUAAAAGUAAAAAAGCUUUUAACCAAAGAAUAGACGACAAGACCCUUUAGAACUUUACUAAAAGUUUAACUGGGGUGGUAUUCAUAAAAACUAAAAUAUAAAGUAUAAACAUCUUAAUACAUAAUAUAACAAGUUACCUAAGGGAUAACAGCAUAAUACAACUUUAAAGAUCUUAUUUAUAGUUAAGCUUAUGACCUCGAUGUUGAAUUAUUUAACAAAUAAAAGAAACCAAUUAAAAAGUAAGUCUGUUCGACUUUUAAUAAAAUACAU